CUUCAAGUGACUUCAGAUCCUGAUCUGCCCAAGCCAGCGUCUUGAUCCCCGCACCCAGGGGGAUGGGUCUGUGCCUUCACUGCCUCUGAACCCCUUGUUUCAUCAACAGGAUCCUUUCUGCCCGUGUGGCACUGAGAGCCCCUUCCCAUAUGGACAGCGGUUGAACAGAAGUGAUUGGGAGCUGCAUGGCCCCCUUAGGAAGACGGAAAGUGCAGCGAUCUGGAAGGAACCUGGAGUUUGGAGUCAGGUAACUGACUUUGAGAGUUGGCUCCUCCAGCUGUGUGACCUUGGCCAGGACAUGGAAGCAACCUAAAUGUCCAUUGAUAGAAGAAUGGAAGA